rnacentral:rRNA from 1 species
ACCCCGGGGGGGGAAAGAUUUAUCGCCAUUGGAGGGGCCCGCGUCGGAUUAGGUAGUUGGUAGGGUAACGGCCUACCAAGCCUUCGAUCCGUAGCUGGUCUGAGAGGAUGAUCAGCCACACUGGGACUGAGAUACGGCCCAGACUCCUACGGGAGGCAGCAGUGGGGAAUAUUGGACAAUGGGGGCAACCCUGAUCCAGCAAUGCCGCGUGAGUGAUGAAGGCCUUCGGGUUGUAAAGCUCUUUCGGCGGGGAAGAUGAUGACGGUACCCGCAGAAGAAGCCCCGGCUAACUUCGUGCCAGCAGCCGCGGUAAUACGAAGGGGGCUAGCGUUGUUCGGAAUUACUGGGCGUAAAGGGCGCGUAGGCUGUGCUGUAAGUCAGGCGUGAAAUCCCCGGGCUCAACCUGGGAAUUGCGCAUGAUACUGCGGCGCUUGAAGACGGGAGAGGAUGGCGGAAUUUCCCAGUGUAGAAGGUGAAAAUUCCGUAGAUAUUGGGGAA